CCGGCCCCUUUCGCUUGUUGGUGAGGUAAUGGCUCACCAAGGCGUCGACGGGUAGCCGGCCUGAGAGGGUGACCGGCCACACUGGGACUGAGACACGGCCCAGACUCCUACGGGAGGCAGCAGUGGGGAAUAUUGCACAAUGGGCGGAAGCCUGAUGCAGCAACGCCGCGUGAGGGAUGACGGCCUUCGGGUUGUAAACCUCUUUUAGCAGGGAAGAAGCGAAAGUGACGGUACCUGCAGAAAAAGCGCCGGCUAACUACGUGCCAGCAGCCGCGGUAAUACGUAGGGCGCAAGCGUUAUCCGGAAUUAUUGGGCGUAAAGAGCUCGUAGGCGGUUUGUCGCGUCUGCUGUGAAAUCCCGAGGCUCAACCUCGGGCCUGCAGUGGGUACGGGCAGACUAGAGUGCGGUAGGGGAGAUUGGAAUUCCUGGUGUAGCGGUGGAAUGCGCAGAUAUCAGGAGGAACACCGAUGGCGAAGGCAGAUCUCUGGGCCGUAACUGACGCUGAGGAGCGAAAGGGUGGGGAGCAAACAGGCUUAGAUACCCUGGUAGUCCACCCCGUAAACGUUGGGAACUAGUUGUGGGGUCCUUCCAC
rnacentral:rRNA from 1 species